rnacentral:siRNA from 1 species
CACACCGCCCGUCGCUCCUA